GGGAAAAUGUGUAGUCUAAGUGUCGGGGGGGUGCACAUUGUUUUAUGUGUUUUAUUUUUUUGUUUUUAUGUUAGUUUGUGUGUUUGUUUUAUUUUUUUUUCCUUUUUUAAAAAAAAUUCAAAAAUUCCUAAAAUAUUUUUCGUUUUUAUUUUAUGAAAUUGCAUGGUGCUUGGAAUAUAAUUAGGUAAUAAGUUAUUAGUUGUACAUAUUGAAUAAGUACAUAGAAUUGUCAAACUUGUAAAUUUUGAAUGAUACUAGAUAAUUUUUUAUUCU
rnacentral:lncRNA from 1 species